rnacentral:rRNA from 1 species
ACGGGCGCGUGCUAUACAUGCAGUCGAGCGGACAGAAGGGAGCUUGCUCCCGGAUGUUAGCGGCGGACGGGUGAGUAACACGUGGGUAACCUGCCUGUAAGACUGGGAUAACUCCGGGAAACCGGAGCUAAUACCGGAUAGUUCCUUGAACCGCAUGGUUCAAGGAUGAAAGACGGUUUCGGCUGUCACUUACAGAUGGACCCGCGGCGCAUUAGCUAGUUGGUGAGGUAACGGCUCACCAAGGCGACGAUGCGUAGCCGACCUGAGAGGGUGAUCGGCCACACUGGGACUGAGACACGGCCCAGACUCCUACGGGAGGCAGCAGUAGGGAAUCUUCCGCAAUGGACGAAAGUCUGACGGAGCAACGCCGCGUGAGUGAUGAAGGUUUUCGGAUCGUAAAGCUCUGUUGUUAGGGAAGAACAAGUGCAAGAGUAACUGCUUGCACCUUGACGGUACCUAACCAGAAAGCCACGGCUAACUACGUGCCAGCAGCCGCGGUAAUACGUAGGUGGCAAGCGUUGUCCGGGAAUUAUUGGGCGUAAAGGGCUCGCAGGCGGUUUCUUAAGUCUGAUGUGAAAGCCCCCGGCUCAACCGGGGAGGGUCAUUGGAAACUGGGAAACUUGAGUGCAGAAGAGGAGAGUGGAAUUCCACGUGUAGCGGUGAAAUGCGUAGAGAUGUGGAGGAACACCAGUGGCGAAGGCGACUCUCUGGUCUGUAACUGACGCUGAGGAGCGAAAGCGUGGGGAGCGAACAGGAUUAGAUACCCUGGUAGUCCACGCCGUAAACGAUGAGUGCUAAGUGUUAGGGGGUUUCCGCCCCUUAGUGCUGCAGCUAACGCAU